rnacentral:rRNA from 1 species
AUUGAACGCUGGCGGAAUGCUUUACACAUGCAAGUCGAACGGCAGCACGGGAGCUUGCUCCUGGUGGCGAGUGGCGAACGGGUGAGUAAUGCGUCGGAACGUACCGAGUAAUGGGGGAUAACGCAGCGAAACCUGUGCUAAUACCGCAUACGCCCUGAGGGGGAAAGUGGGGGAUCGCAAGACCUCACGUUAUUCGAGCGGCCGACGUCUGAUUAGCUAGUUGGUGGGGUAAUGGCCUACCAAGGCGACGAUCAGUAGCGGGUCUGAGAGGAUGAUCCGCCACACUGGAACUGAGACACGGUCCAGACUCCUACGGGAGGCAGCAGUGGGGAAUUUUGGACAAUGGGGGCAACCCUGAUCCAGCCUUUCCGCGUGAGUGAUGAAGGCCUUCGGGUUGUAAAGCUCUUUCAGCUGGAACGAAACGGUACGCUCUAACAUAGCGUGCUAAUGACGGUACCGGCAGAAGAAGCACCGGCUAACUACGUGCCAGCAGCCGCGGUAAUACGUAGGGUGCGAGCGUUAAUCGGAAUUACUGGGCGUAAAGCGUGCGCAGGCGGAUUGUUAAGCAAGAUGUGAAAUCCCCGGGCUUAACCUGGGAAUGGCAUUUUGAACUGGCAGUCUAGAGUGCGUCAGAGGGGGGUGGAAUUCCACGUGUAGCAGUGAAAUGCGUAGAGAUGUGGAGGAACACCAAUGGCGAAGGCAGCCCCCUGGGAUGACACUGACGCUCAUGUACGAAAGCGUGGGUAGCAAACAGGAUUAGAUACCCUGGUAGUCCACGCCCUAAACGAUGUCAACUGGUUGUUGGG